UUAGGUGUAGCCAAAUUGGUAAGGCAAUGGUUUUUGGUACCAUGAUGUGCAGGUUCGAGUCCUGCCACCCUUA
rnacentral:tRNA from 1 species